rnacentral:rRNA from 1 species
GAUGAACGCUGGCGGCGUGCCUAAUACAUGCAAGUCGAGCGAACGGACGAGAAGCUUGCUUCUCUGAUGUUAGCGGCGGACGGGAGAGUAACACGUGUAUAAUCUACCUAUAAGACUGGGAUAACUUCGGGAAACCGUAGCUUAUACCGGAUGAGCUUCUGAACCGUAUUGUUCAAAAGUGAAAGUCGGCCGUGCUGUCACUUCUAGAUGCAUCUGGGCUGCAUUAGCUAGUUGGUAAGGUAACGGCUUACCAAGGCAACGAUGCAUAACCGACCUGAGAGAGUGAUAGGCCACACGAGAGCGGAGCCAGGGACAUGACGCCUACGAGAGGGCGCAGUAGGGAAUCGUCCGCAGUAGGCGGGAGCAUGACGGAACGACGGCGAGUGAGAGAUGGCGGUGCUGCGAUCGUAAAACUCUGUUAUUAGGGAAGAACAUAUGUGUACGUAAAUGUGGACAUCUUGACGGUAACUAGUCAGAAAGCCACGGCUAACUACGUG